AGCGAACGCUGGCGGCAGGCCUAAUACAUGCAAGUCGAACGGCUCUUCGGAGCAGUGGCGGACGGGUGAGUAACGCGUGGGAACGUGCCCUUUGGUUCGGAACAACACAGGGAAACUUGUGCUAAUACCGAGUGUGCCCUUCGGGGGAAAGAUUUAUCGCCAUUGGAGCGGCCCGCGUUGGAUUAGCUAGUUGGUGGGGUAAUGGCCCACCAAGGCUACGAUCCAUAGCUGGUCUGAGAGGAUGAUCAGCCACACUGGGACUGAGACACGGCCCAGACUCCUACGGGAGGCAGCAGUAGGGAAUCUUGCGCAAUGGGCGAAAGCCUGACGCAGCCAUGCCGCGUGAAUGAUGAAGGUCUUAGGAUUGUAAAAUUCUUUCACCGGGGAAGAUAAUGACGGUACCCGGAGAAGAAGCCCCGGCUAACUUCGUGCCAGCCGCCGCAGUAA
rnacentral:rRNA from 1 species